UCUGUCUCUCCUUCUCACUUUAUCACUUGCUCUGCCUUUCAAAUAAAUAAAUAAUGCUUAAAAAUGGAGAAUCAUUCUGUUCAUACUUAGACCUCAAGCCUGUGUGUUAAGAACUUACUAAAUUUCAUAUCUAAAAUUGUUUUCUAGAGAGGAUUUUGUCCAUCUUAUUAUAAUAUCAUAUGAUGAGUGGUUAUAUACAGUUCAUGUUUUGUAAGGAGAAAAUUUGACACAUCUCCAAUUAGGUCAUCAGUUGUUUGAAGGCAGAUUGGAAAACCAAGGAAUGUGUUGCGCAUGAUGGAGGUGAGAGUAUUUUACUGCUUCUGCUCUCCAUUUGUCCCAAGACUAGCACAGCACUUGGGAAAGCAGUAACUCAGCCAUGAUGAAUACAGUAAAUCACAUGAUUACAUAUAUUUGAAUGAAUGAGUUGGUACUAAUUUUUUUCAGAUCCCAAGAAGGAAAUUACAAGUCUGAAGUCAACAGCAAACCCAGGAAGGAAAGGACAGCAUUUACCAAGAGCAAAUCCAAGGACUAGAAGCAGAAUUUGCCCAUCACAACUAUGUGACUAGACUGAGGAGAUACAAGAUAGCAGAGAAUCUGGAUCUCACCAAAAGACAGGUGAAAGUGUGGUUCCAGAACAGGCAGAUGAAGAGGAAGAGGGUAAAAUUGGGCCAGCUGGGCACUGCUGCCUGAGAAAAGGAACUGGUGAAUGUGAAGAAAGGAACCCUGUUCCCUUCAGAGCUGUCAGGGAUUGGUGCGGCCACGCUCCAGCAAACAGGGGACUCUCUGGACAAUGAAGACAGCCACAACAGUGACCACAGCUCCGAGCAUGCACACUUAUGAUCCACACAGACAGGACCAGCUCCAUCCUCAGGAAAGAAGCACCGUGAUGGCAAGCCUUACCCAAUAGAGUUUACACAAAGAGAUGGCCAUGGCCAUGAUUUUUAAUAUUAUCAAAUUCAGGCAUCAUGGGUCUGUUUUGCAUGAUUUAUAGAGGAAGGAAGUGCCACUUAUCAAAGAUGCUUCCGUGAUGAAAAUCAGAAGAAAUGGUGUCAGACAAGGAGCAAAGCCAAAUGGGCUCCCCAAGGGGAUAGACAAAACAAUUCUGAAUGUCUUCAAAUUAAAUUCAGUAAAAACACAUUAUUUUUUAAUAUGUGAUGUAUUCUUGCAGAACAACCA